rnacentral:rRNA from 1 species
UAAUUUGUAGAGGAUGUUUCGGAUAAGGCUUUGGUUUAAGUUUCUUGGAACAGAACGUCAUAGAGGGUGAGAAUCCCGUCUAGAACCGAUAGCCACGUUCAUGUGAAACUCCUUCGAC